rnacentral:lncRNA from 1 species
UGGACAGGCAUAUCCAGCUAUGUUGCAAGAAGUGAAUGGUUCUUCACCCUUAACAGUCUGCACAGAUAAGGAUUGUUUGCUACUAGAGAACCUGUUUUUCCAAGUAAUGAAGUAAAGCCAACUGGAUUGGUGAUAAGGGCUUGCUUUUCCUAGCAGGAUUCAACCCAGGAGAGUGUGGUGCAAAGUAGUCAACAGCUCUAACACUGCUGCAGCAGUGCUUCCUGGCCUGUUUUCAUUUGAUUGGGAAAUACUUCUGCAAGGCAUUAUGGAAAAGUCUGCUGGGUUUUUGUCCUGCUCCCUCCCAGGCAGAAAAGCAGGCAUAGCUGGGGAAGAUGGAGUGGAUUUUGAUGGCACCAUACAGAAUCUGAGGAGGUCCAGGACUGUCCCUUCCAUGCUGAGACAUCUGCAGAGCUGGGACAUGAAGACCCCUGUGGGGUGUUGUGUAGGGAAAGAGUGGAGCAGGAUAAAGAUGACCAUGGAUGGAUGGAAAGAGUGGUCACCUAUGAGAGCAGCUUUGGUCUCCGUGCUGCAGGUACAUCAGCUCCUGGGAAAUGCUUACCUAUCAAUGCAGCUGUGCAGGAACUCCAGGCUUUCUGUGUGGUGGUGUCCCAAGGAGCAGAAGACAAGCUACCCACAGUUUGGGUGUAGGCAUGUAUGCUGUGUUUCUGACAUGGCUCAUAGGCUCCCAGAAAAUUGCUGUUUUCACUUCUGCAGUGUUUUGCCCAAAAUUUAG